UAUCGAUGUUAUCGAUUCUCCAAAAGCGAUAUUCGAGAUCGAUAUAUUUAAAUCUCGGAAAUUUAAUCAAUUAAAUGAUAAAAAGCGAAAUUAAAUUAACAACAUUCUAGAGAUAAAACAAUUCGCUUUCUGAGAACCAAAUGGCAUUAAAAAGUAGAUUAUCCACAAUCAGUUUAAUAUUUGACCUUCUCUUGAGUUGAAAUUUCUUGCGAUCCGAUAAGCGGAGUAUUAACCGGAUCAUUCGGGUUUCGCUUGAGCUCAAGUUACAAUGUGAAGAAAGUAAAUUACUGAAUCAAAUGAUUUGAUUCAAAUCAGUUGGUUUUUAAGUUAAUCAGUGUUGUGUCUCUUUUUUGUGGCAUUUUCUUGUGAUUUUUUGGAAAACAAGAAUUAACAACUCACAACCUAACCGAUGCAAGGUGAAUUCUGAAGAAUUCAUCAAAGGCUGAUGUACAUGUCAACCUUUGUUUCAUCAUCUUUUUACCCGCCGGUUCAUGUCAAUUACGGUCGGUUUACAAAAUUCUUAAUUGGCAUUAUGAUUAACUUGACCAACUCCUUUAAUCAGGGUAUUCCAAUGAAUUCUCAUUUUUCCUUUGAGACUUCACCUCCUCCUGAUUGCUGAAAUCAAAAGGCUUCAGCUUGAUUUCCACAAUUUAAUUUCAUAAAUUGUCUGGUUCUCUUGCGUCAGCCAACAAAACCCCUUUAGAUUGUUAAUCAAAUAUUGAACUAAGUCAAUUAAUCUCAUAUUUGAUCAAUGGCAAAAAUGUCACUCACAUUUCAAUUCAACUUCAACAGAAAUCGUUUCAAUUAUUCAACAUAAAAAUGAGCUUUUUCAAAGAAUCUAUUGGACAUCUCUAUCGAGUUCUCAGUUUCAGAGUUGUGGUUCUCUUAACAUUGAACAUUUUCUCGGCUUUAUGUGGACUAAGAUGUUGAUUUUUUCAUUAAUCAAGUGAAGAGAAUGAAAAAUAUCUGAUAUUCAAUAAGAACUGUGAAUGGAUCAAUUUGUUGAGAUACUUCUUUCAACUAGACAAAAUUUGCAAGUUUGAAAAGAUAAAUGAAUAGUAAACUAUGUUGGUUAAACGA